rnacentral:tRNA from 1 species
GCCUUCGUGGUGUAAGGGUUAGCACACUCGGCGCGGAUUCGAGAGGUCCAGGUUCGAAUCCCGGCCAGGGCA